rnacentral:rRNA from 1 species
AGUGAACGCUGGCGGUAGGCCUAACACAUGCAAGUCGAACGGCAGCACAGUAAGAGCUUGCUCUUACGGGUGGCGAGUGGCGGACGGGUGAGGAAUACAUCGGAAUCUACUUUUUCGUGGGGGUUAACGUAGGGAAACUUACGCUAAUACCGCAUACGACCUACGGGUGAAAGCAGGGGAUCUUCGGACCUUGCGCGAUUGAAUGAGCCGAUGUCGGAUUAGCUAGUUGGCGGGGUAAAGGCCCACCAAGGCGACGAUCCGUAGCUGGUCUGAGAGGAUGAUCAGCCACACUGGAACUGAGACACGGUCCAGACUCCUACGGGAGGCAGCAGUGGGGAAUAUUGGACAAUGGUCGCAAGCCUGAUCCAGCCAUACCGCGUGGGUGAAGAAGGCCUUCGGGUUGUAAAGCCCUUUUGUUGGGAAAGAAAAGCAGCAGGUUAAUACCCCGCUGUUCUGACGGUACCCAAAGAAUAAGCACCGGCUAACUUCGUG